rnacentral:rRNA from 1 species
AAGAAUACGAUCUAUAGCUGGUCUGAUUGGAUGAUCAACCACACUGGGACUGAGACACGGCCCAGACUCCUACGGGAGGCAGCAGUGGGGAAUCUUGCACAAUGGGCGAAAGCCUGAUGCAGCCAUGCCGCGUGAAUGAUGAAGGCCUUAGGGUUGUAAAAUUCUUUCGCUAGGGAUGAUAAUGACAGUACCUAGUAAAGAAGCCCCGGCUAACUUCGUGCCAGCAGCCGCGGUAAUACGAAGGGGGCUAGCGUUGUUCGGAAUUACUGGGCGUAAAGCGCACGUAGGCGGACUUUUAAGUCAUAUGUGAAAUCCCGGGGCUCAACCUCGGAACUGCAUUUGAAACUGGAAGUCUGGAGUUCAGGAGAGGUUAGCGGAAUACCGAGUGUAGAGGUGAAAUUCGUAGAUAUUCGGUGGAACACCAGUGGCGAAGGCGGCUAACUGGACUGAUACUGACGCUGAGGUGCGAAAGUGUGGGGAGCAAACAGGAUUAGAUACCCUGGUAGUCCACACCGUAAACGAUGACAGCUAGUUGUUGGCAGGCAUGCCUGUCGGUGACGCAGCUAACGCAUUAAGCUGUCCGCCUGGGGAGUACGGCCGCAAGGUUAAAACUCAAAGAAAUUGACGGGGGCCCGCACAAGCGGUGGAGCAUGUGGUUUAAUUUCAUAAGCAACGCGCAGAACCUUACCUACCCUUGACAUCCCGAUCGCGGUUUCCAGAGAUGGAUUCCUUCAUUU